rnacentral:lncRNA from 1 species
AGCUUACUUGUACCAGUCACACUAGCCUCCUUUGUUUCUUUUCCACACCAGAUUCUUUCAAACUUCCGAGCUUUACGUAGCACCUGCUGUUCCUCUAUCUGGAACACACAUGCUCCCUUCUUUAUCCUUUUGGCCUAUAACCUUCCUCAAAAAACUCAGUUCCGUUUAAAUGCUUUCCUAAAUGUUCUUGUUGAUGCUUGU